rnacentral:lncRNA from 1 species
CUUUAUUCUAUCUUCCUUGUUUUUUUCCUAAUAUUCUUUUUUUUUUUUUCUUGAAUUCCACCCAGGGUACCACAUUCCAUUUAGCAGCCAUGUCUCUUUAGAGUCCCCUUGGACUCUAAAGGCUUUUGUAUUUUGAUAACAUUGAAAGUUUUGAGGGGUACUGAUUAGGUAUUUUGUAAAAUGUUGCUCCGGGGAUUAUUCUCAUAUUUUGGUCAUGAUUAAAGAGAAUUAAAGUGCCAUUCUCACCACAUCAUAUCAAACAUAUAGCUUAUCAACAUGACUUACUACCACUGAUUGAUAGUGACCUUGAUCAUCUGGCUACUGUCGUGUUAAUCUAAUUUCCCUACUGUAAAGUUUACUCUAUUUCCACUUUCCAUACUGAACUCCUAUGAAGGAAGUAACUAGGUGCAGCCCACACUUAAGGGAUGGGAUUGACGUACUGCUUCUUUGAGAGCAGAGUAUCUACAGAAAUGAUUUGAAAUUCUUCUGCACAAAAAAGACUAAAAAGAGAUUUGUCCCUUCUCCCCCAUUUAUCUAUUUAUUGAAUUAUUUUUAUCAGUAGAGACUUACGGAUUUUUUUUUUAGUUUGGGUUAUAAGCCAAUGCUCUUCUAUUUUGUUUAUCAAAUUGUUGCAUAUAUGGCUAUGGGAACUAACACUCUAUUUCAGAGUGAUCCCAGACUCACGGGCUAGCCUACAAGGGACAGGUGUGACGGGAACAGCUCAGCUUUCCCCGGGCCUGCCUCCCUCCCAAGCACAUAUGUUAUCCACAUGAUCUGUUCCAGUUUUUCAGGGAUUGGCACUGGGACUUGGGGCAUUGGCUUAGCAGAACAGCGUGUGUCCCUUUGCUAGACCUGUCCACUGUGUGUCUGCAAGUCCCUGGAUUUUCAUCAAGUUGCUGUGAAAAGAAGACAAACAGAUUCAGGAAUAGAAGAUCUCCCUGACCACCAUCAGCAUCCUGCACUUUUCCUUCCUAUACAGUGGACAUCCACUCACUACAGCAGGUGAACAGGAGCAAAGAUCAACUCAGGCAUGCGCAGAUCAGAGGCCAUGUCAGGACAGUGAGAAGGCAGCUGCCUGAAAGCCACAAAGAGAGGCCUCACCAGAACCAGUCCUAUUGGUGCCUUAAUCUUAGACUUCUCAUCUCUAUAACUGUAAGAAAACUAAUUUCUGUUAUUUAAGCCACCCAGUUUGUAUGAUAUUUUGUUAUGGCAGCUUGAGUAGAAUAACACACAUAUUGUCUUCCAUAUUGUCAGAAAAGUCUCUUUUACCAUAAAUUAAUUUUGAUUUUGUUAUCAUUUCACAAGCAUUUGUUGUUCAAAGCCAUAGUUUCAUGUGCUGUACUAGACACUGGAGAUACAAGGCAGAAUGAGGCCUUGGAGCAUGUAUAAGCUAGUCCAGAGAUGGCAAAUACAGGGCUCUUAGCACCUUCCAGUCCCUCCCAGGUCCCAGCUGCUAAUUGAGAACAACACAAUUCCCCAUGGAAUUGAACAUUACAAUCCUGCUAAACAUAGAAUAAGUGCCAAAUGAUCAGAUUUACAAUGUACC